GACGAACGCUGGCGGCGUGCUUAACACAUGCAAGUCGAGCGGUAAGGCCCUUUCGGGGUACGACGAGCGGCGAACGGGUGGAGUAACACGUGGGUGGACCUCGCCCUCCAGCUCUGGGAGUAAGACCCGGGAAACCGUAGGGUCGUAAUACUGGAUAUGACUCCAUGACGCAUGUUGUGGGGUGGAAAGACCUUGUGCGGCUGAGGAUGGGCCCGG
rnacentral:rRNA from 1 species